rnacentral:lncRNA from 1 species
UAUAAUUUACACCUAAAAUAGAAUCAAGCUCUACUAAAAAAGAAACUCUGAAACAAUUGCUGUAACUCUGCAAAUGCUGCACAAAAAAUUAUUGGGUGGAAGAUCUUCUUUAAGCUUGAUGGAAUCUGAAAACAAAGGGAGGGGAUAAUAAAUGAGAUAACUAUAGUAGACGUGGAUUGUUGGUCAUUGGAAACAAAACUAGUCAAUACAACUACAAAAAUAGACACCACAAUUAGAGGCCAAACAAGCACAAAAUAUGGACUUAAAGAUUACAAAAUUAUAAACAAAAAAUACAAGAAUUAAUGUUUUCUUAAAUUUUAAAGGUAAAAAUAUUUCCUAAAACAUUUGAAAAGGGAAAGAAGAAGGAACAGCCGAGGUUGAAACCUUCAAAGAAAAAAUUAUGCUUUAAGUACCAAAUACACCUCAAAGGAACAACCGUUUACGAAAUAAAAUCCCACUGGAACAUGAGUAUAGGACAUGGCUCCUUAAUACCUCUAAAGCCAAAUCAUCGGGUAUCUCUCCAAGUGCUCCAACUUCAUCCAAUCUUUCUUUGUAUUUUUUAUUGUAGCAUUCAAGCUCUUCCAUGCUUGGACACCAAUAUCUG